UACGUUUUAGUAUAAGAGGUACAUAAAUUUUUGAUAUUUAAGGAAGCAGUUUAACCCUGCUAAAUGUAA
rnacentral:tRNA from 1 species